rnacentral:rRNA from 1 species
UACGAAGGGAGCUAGCGUUGUUCGGAAUCACUGGGCGUAAAGCGCCACGUAGGCGGAUGUGUCAGUCAGGGGUGAAAUCCCGGAGCUCAACUUCGGAACUGCCUUUGAUACAGCACGUCUUGAGUCCGAUAGAGGUGGGUGGAAUUCCUAGUGUAGAGGUGAAAUUCGUAGAUAUUAGGAAGAACACCGGUGGCGAAGGCGGCCCACUGGAUCGGUAUGGACGCUGAGGUGCGAAAGCGUGGGGAGCAAACAGGUUAAGAA